rnacentral:rRNA from 1 species
CAAUAGCGUAUAUUAAAGUUGUUGCGGUUAAAAAGCUCGUAGUUGGAUUUCUGCUGAGGAUGACCGGUCCGCCCUCCGGGUGAGUAUCUGGCUCAGCCUUGGCAUCUUCCUGAAGAACGUAACUGCACUUGACUGUGUGGUGCGGUAUUUAGGACAUUUACUUUGAGGAAAUUAGAGUGUUUCAAGCAAGCGCACGCCUUGAAUACAUUAGCAUGGAAUAAUAAGAUAGGACCUCGGUUCUAUUUUGUUGGUUUCUAGAGCUGAGGUAAUGAUUGAUAGGGAUAGUUGGGGGCAUUCGUAUUUAACUGUCAGAGGUGAAAUUCUCGGAUUUGUUAAAGACGGACUACUGCGAAAGCAUUUGCCAAGGAUGUUUUCAUUGA